rnacentral:rRNA from 2 species
UUAUAUGAGAGUUUGAUCCUGGCUCAGGAUGAACGCUGGCGGCGUGCCUAAUACAUGCAAGUCGAACGAGUUCUGAUUAUUGAAAGGUGCUUGCAUCUUGAUUUAAUUUUGAACGAGUGGCGGACGGGUGAGUAACACGUGGGUAACCUGCCCUUAAGUGGGGGAUAACAUUUGGAAACAGAUGCUAAUACCGCAUAAAUCCAAGAACCGCAUGGUUCUUGGCUGAAAGAUGGCGUAAGCUAUCGCUUUUGGAUGGACCCGCGGCGUAUUAGCUAGUUGGUGAGGUAACGGCUCACCAAGGCAAUGAUACGUAGCCGAACUGAGAGGUUGAUCGGCCACAUUGGGACUGAGACACGGCCCAAACUCCUACGGGAGGCAGCAGUAGGGAAUCUUCCACAAUGGACGCAAGUCUGAUGGAGCAACGCCGCGUGAGUGAAGAAGGCUUUCGGGUCGUAAAACUCUGUUGUUGGAGAAGAAUGGUCGGCAGAGUAACUGUUGUCGGCGUGACGGUAUCCAACCAGAAAGCCACGGCUAACUACGUGCCAGCAGCCGCGGUAAUACGUAGGUGGCAAGCGUUAUCCGGAUUUAUUGGGCGUAAAGCGAGCGCAGGCGGUUUUUUAAGUCUGAUGUGAAAGCCCUCGGCUUAACCGAGGAAGUGCAUCGGAAACUGGGAAACUUGAGUGCAGAAGAGGACAGUGGAACUCCAUGUGUAGCGGUGAAAUGCGUAGAUAUAUGGAAGAACACCAGUGGCGAAGGCGGCUGUCUGGUCUGUAACUGACGCUGAGGCUCGAAAGCAUGGGUAGCGAACAGGAUUAGAUACCCUGGUAGUCCAUGCCGUAAACGAUGAAUGCUAGGUGUUGGAGGGUUUCCGCCCUUCAGUGCCGCAGCUAACGCAUUAAGCAUUCCGCCUGGGGAGUACGACCGCAAGGUUGAAACUCAAAGGAAUUGACGGGGGCCCGCACAAGCGGUGGAGCAUGUGGUUUAAUUCGAAGCAACGCGAAG